AUCUCAUGAUGAGGAAAAUCUUGAAUGUAUCUUUACAAACACUCCUAUGCUCCUAAAAUGGUUUCUGUCUUCUACUAUUGGAAAUUGGUGAUCUUUCCUCUUAAUGC
rnacentral:snoRNA from 1 species